rnacentral:rRNA from 1 species
AACGAACGCUGGCGGCAGGCUUAACACAUGCAAGUCGAACGCCCCGCAAGAGGAGUGGCAGACGGGUGAGUAACGCGUGGGAAUCUACCUAGUUCUACGGAACAACAGUUGGAAACGACUGCUAAUACCGUAUACGCCCUACGGGGGAAAGAUUUAUCGGAAUUAGAUGAGCCCGCGUAAGGUUAGCUAGUUGGUGAGGU